CCUACGGGAGGCAGCAGUGAGGAAUAUUGGGCAAUGGAGGCAACUCUGACCCAGCCAUGCCGCGUGAGUGAAGAAGGUUUUCGGAUUGUAAAGCUCUUUCGGAUGUGACGAUGAUGACGGUAGCAUCUAAAGAAGCCCCGGCUAACUCCGUGCCAGCAGCCGCGGUAAUACGGAGGAUGCGAGCGUUAUCCGGAUUUAUUGGGUUUAAAGGGUGCGCAGGCGGUCUGUUAAGUCAGCGGUCAAAGCCCGGGGCUCAACCCCGGCCCGCCGUUGAAACUGGCAGCCUCGAGUUGGAGAGAAGUAUGCGGAAUGCGCGGUGUAGCGGUGAAAUGCAUAGAUAUCGCGCAGAACUCCGAUUGCGAAGGCAGCAUGCCGGCUCCACACUGACGCUGAGGCACGAAAGCGUGGGUAUCGAACAGGAUUAGAUACCCCUGUAGUC
rnacentral:rRNA from 1 species